rnacentral:misc_RNA from 1 species
UCCGGUUCUUCACCAGCAGUCUCUUUAGAGUCCCCACCAUUACAUGUUGGCAACUAAAGAUAAGGGUUGCGCUCGUUACGGGACUUAACCCAACAUCUCACAACACGAGCUGACGACAGCCAUGCAGCACCUGUCUCGCGGUUCCUUUCGGCACUUCGAUAUCUCUAUCAAAUUCCGCGGAUCUCAAGGGUAGGUAAGGUUCUUCGCGUUGCAUCGAAUUAAACCACAUGCUCCACCGCUUGUGCGGGCCCCCGUCAAUUCCUUUGAGUUUUAACCUUGCGGCCGUACUCCCCAGGCGGAGAACUUAUCGCGUUAGCUUCGAUACUAAUCCGCUCGCGCAGACCAACAUCUAGUUCUCAUCGUUUACAGCGUGGACUAC